rnacentral:rRNA from 1 species
GAUGAACGCUGGCGGCGUGCUUAACACAUGCAAGUCGAACGGUGAAGCAGGAGCUUGCUCCUGUGGAUCAGUGGCGAACGGGUGAGUAACACGUGAGCAAUCUGCCCUGGACUCUGGGAUAAGCGUUGGAAACGACGUCUAAUACCGGAUACGAGGCGUGGGGGCAUCCCCAACGCCUGGAAAGAACUUCGGUCCAGGAUGAGCUCGCGGCCUAUCAGGUAGUUGGUGAGGUAACGGCUCACCAAGCCUACGACGGGUAGCCGGCCUGAGAGGGUGACCGGCCACACUGGGACUGAGACACGGCCCAGACUCCUACGGGAGGCAGCAGUGGGGAAUAUUGUACAAUGGGCGCAAGCCUGAUGCAGCAACGCCGCGUGAGGGACGACGGCCUUCGGGUUGUAAACCUCUUUUAGCAGGGAAGAAGCGAAAGUGACGGUACCUGCAGAAAAAGCACCGGCUAACUACGUGCCAGCAGCCGCGGUAAUAC